GAUGAACGCUGGCGGCGUGCCUAAUACAUGCAAGUCGAGCGAACGGACGAGAAGCUUGCUUCUCUGAUGUUAGCGGCGGACGGGUGAGUAACACGUGGAUAACCGACCUAUAAGACUGGGAUAACUUCGGGAAACCGGAGCUAAUACCGGAUAAUAUUUUGAACCGCAUGGUUCAACAGUGAAAGACGGUCUUGCUGUCACUUAUAGAUGGAUCCUCGCUGCAUUAGCUAGUUGGUAAGGUAACGGCUUACCAAGGCAACGAUGCAUAGCCGACCUGAGAGGGUGAUCGGCCACACUGGAACUGAGACACGGUCCAGACUCCUACGGGAGGCAGCAGUAGGGAAUCUUCGGCAAUGGGCGAAAGCCUGACGGAGCAACGCCGCGUGAGUGAUGAAGGUCUUCGGAUCGUAAAACUCUGUUAUUAGGGAAGAACAUAUGUGUAAGUAACUGUGCACAUCUUGACGGUACCUAAACAGAAAGCAACGGCUAACUACGUG
rnacentral:rRNA from 1 species